rnacentral:lncRNA from 1 species
GCGCAGAAAUGGAAGCUUCCAAUAUGGAUGACUUGCUCUUGAGCAUGUGGAAACACUGAGGAAGGAAAUCAGCCAACGAAUCGGUGGUGGGAACAAAGGUCCGGCUUCUCUGCCAUGUUCUUACAACUCGUGGAUUCUCGUUCCGAGCUCGCGCUCCAGGUACUCCCACCCGCGUUGCCGCAGCAAGAGACCCAAAGGUACUUUCUACUAUAGAUGCAGUAAUGAGUCUGUUA